GGUGGUUUGCUUACAUUGUUUUCAAUAACAAUGUACCAGAAGACUAGUAGAAAAUUACAAACUUGGAGCGGUCUGAGCCUCAGUUUUGGCGUUUUCAUGGGUCUUAAUUAUGAAUGAAAUUCGGCACUUUGAAGUCAAACUCGGGAAGAAGCAGAAACAGAAUUGAAUGAGCUGAUAAUUAGAAUAACACAGGAAAAACAUAUUCCGAGAAUACAUUAUUACAGUACAGGCCCAUUGAUGCAGGAAGUGAGUGGAUAGUACAUGUAAUACCCUCAGGGAGCCAG